GUAAAGCCAAUAGUCUGGUUCCCUAAAACUUGUAGGCUCAGCGAACAAUGGGAUAUGACUGGGAUCCAUAUCACCAAAAUGCACAGCUUCCUGAGAACACUGGGGAGGUGUUUUAUAACCUGAAGCUGGGAUGGAGGUCAGGAGAAAGGAGGUCAGGGUCAUCCUCUUCCAUGUGGUGGCUCCUCCUGCCAGGGCUUUGACUCCACUUUGGCAAGUAGAUGGGAGCACGUCUUCCAGCCUUGGGGCUGCACCCCAGUGCCAGGUCCCAGGAUAGAGAGUUACCUUGGUUCUCUACUCAGAUCUCUCAGGUCUGUCAGCUGUGCCAGCAGUCCCCUAGGCUCUUCUCCAACCAUGCCGCCCAGUUGCACACACUGCUGGGCCUGUAUUGUGUCUCCGUGAACUGCAUGGACAAUGCUGAAGCCCAGUUUACCACAGCCCUUCGGGUAAGGCUGACUUCCUGAGUAAUGGAACAUGGUAUAAGAUUGGCUGCUGCACAAAGGAUGGAGACCAGCUUAGGUUUACUGCAGGAGCUAUAUAUAGACUUUGAGCCCACAUUUACUGCAGUUAGCCUGACAGUGGCCACAACCUUAACACAGUUCCUGUUGGGGUGGGA
rnacentral:lncRNA from 1 species